CAGCCUCCUGCUGUAUGUGACCUCAUCAGCCCAGAGUGAAGGGACGUACAGGUGUACUCUCAGGUACGCAGACGAAGAAGACGUAACCCACAUUGAACUGAAGAUACUGGAGGACCCUAAUGAAGAGGGAUCUUCUAGCACAGUUGGGAUCAUUUUAGGAGUCGUGGAUCCCGUUAUCAUUUUAAUCAUCGCCAUCAACAGUUUAUACAUCAUAUAACCGAUAAAGGCCAAAGAAGGACGAGGAAGGAGCUCAAACCACCAAAGUACUGAACCCUCUCCUCAGGAAGUCGUUCCUCUGUCUGAGAUAAAGGGUUCAACCUCCUGACCUUAUUACCGCACCAUCAGACACAGCAGGGUAAGACCGUGGUCGCAGGAGCCAGGAUCCUUGUUUACGUUGUAAUUUAGGGGUGUAACAGUAGAAUGGGGGGGGGGGGGGGUGCUUUGUAGGAGGGACUGACCAGCUUCAGGAGUGAGGCUGAGGUGUGUAAAAGGUGAGUAGGUGUGGUCUGUAGGGGCUGAUUCUGACCUCUGAGUCCUCUGCUGGGAUUAGAGUCUGCCGCUAUGUUGCCCGGUGUCUUCAUCCGAGAUGGACUGGGAGGAUAUUUUUAUUCUGCAACAGAGAAAGACUUUGAAAAGGUCAAACAGACAAUGUGAUGGGUACAACCGAGGCAACCUCAGCACUACAACAACAACAACAUGGACGACCUUGGUGACCCACCACAGAGCACACGUCCAAGAGCAAAGAAACAUGUAUCUGGAUUAAUGGGAAUGAAACGUUUGAAAAGCGUUGACAUUUGUCAUCCUUAUGAUCCCACUAUUUUCUUUUACUUUGACAUUUAUUAGAAGUCGUGAAACUUAAAUUCAUCUUUAAGGCAAUGAAUGGAUGAGUUGUAAGAUGCGUCCAUUAUCUUACUGUACCGUCAGUGGAAUUGUCUUCUACACAGAUUUAAAAGAAAACCAUCUCCAACGGAUUACACCAAUUGUUAUGUAUUAAUAUUGAUCAUUUUAUUUGUAUUAGGCCUAUAAAGUUGUAAUCAGCCAUUUUCAAAGACUUUUUGAAAAACGAUGUACUGUAUAUUCUGGCAACCCGCCUUCUCCAGUGAACCGCCUCCUCCCCAAACCGGACACAACUUUACUGGGCAAAAAGGCCUGUUUAAUCCAAAAUCAAAAAAGUCUCAUACUGAAAAUAACACAACGAGAAACCUGGGAGGAAUCGACGGUCCUAUCCCACGAGAACCUGUCUCUCCUUGCCCGAGCCACAUGGCUGAGAGAGCCCUGAUUGAGUGGAGAAGCAGGCUAUUCAAGCCCUGUUUCUCCACCUGUUCCUCAGGUGCUCUGCAUUUAGUUAAUUGGCCCCCGCUCCAACGCCCUCAAUGGCGCCAUCUGGGGGUAGACUGCUUCCAGGGGUGCUGGGCCGGAUCCGGGUUGCCACACUCCUCCACCCUUUGAUGAAGCUUCGGGGCCUCGUGUUGGAGCGGCGGUCCUGCCUGAAGCGGAGCUGCUCCUGCUGCUGGCGUCGCCCGCUGCGUCGUCUCCGGCUGUGUCGAGGCUGCUUUGGAGGCUGGCGUUCACUCAAAAAAUGGUCCGUAGCUUGGUCGAGUCCUCGGUCGAUUCUCCACCAUAUGUGGCGACCCGGCCCCAGGAAUGUCUCUACCACUCAGGAAAUCAACAUUCGCGUUGUAGUAGCAGAGAAUGGGCUGCGGGGCAGUAUGUACAUUGUUAAAUACAUGAAUAGGCUUGAAUUUAGUGGUAAUAUGGAGGUUUCAUAUUUUUACAAAAUGGAUUAUGUGAACAUUGCUGAAUAACAAUCAUGUAUAUUAAAUGUAUUGCAGGAGUUUAGCUUGACACUAACCAAGUGAAAGGACAAUUAAAUGAACCGCACCAAACAUGUGGAAGUCAAUGUGGGAUUUUAAUAUAUGAAAACAAAAACACUUGACAGAAAUGUAUUACAAUUUUAUAAAGGAAAGCAGAGGAAAACAUUUUCCAAAUUAAUCUUUUCGAAAUGUCACCUCCAUUCCGAAAGCAAGUGAAGAGGUUUGUGUAAAAGCAGUCCUCCCUGAACAGCUCUGUCCCUGACUCUAAACCCUGACUCUCAACCCUAACGCUAAACCCUCUGAGGGCAGGAAGACGCGCCUUCAGUGUAAAGGUUUGAACCACAGAGAAGGAAGAAAAGAGGAAGCAGUAGAGAGUAGUGAGGUUAGUGACAGACGUGAGGGAAAGGCGUGUGGAAGCACACGGUUAUGUGUGGGGUCAAGAAGAUCACUCCCACUGGAGGUCAGUGAUCCAUCAGCCUCAGACUGCUGAGCUCAGCAGGUCUUCUGGAGGACAAGGCUCAGAUGAACUGAGGAGACGGGACCAGCAGGAUGUCAGGAUCAGGGCGGGUUUAGCUCAGGUGUGUCUACCCCCGACCAAACAGGAUCAGGUGAGGUUCAGCUCAGGUGCGUCUGCCCGGACCAAACAAGGACAUUGAUUAGGUUCAUUAUUCAAAAGAUGCAACAUUAUCUGAACCAAAGAUAAGUCAUUAAGGAGCAGGCAGGCUUUAGGGCGCCUUGCUCAAGGACACAUCACUGUAUUCUGAGGACUUGAAUCCGGCACCAUUGGUUUGAGAGUUGAAACCCCAACCCCCUACCUAGUCCACCAUGUCCAGAUAAUGCAAACUUAUGAGGAAUCCUUGAUGGUAGAGUGCUGGUGAUCCUCAGGAUUUUCCUUCCAGAUGUACGGCUUCUCCAUCAGUCCUCCAGAUUCCUGGUCUGGUUAGAAACGCAAUUUGUCUCUGAUGUAAGGUAACAAACACGGUAGUACUUCGUCUCUAAUGCAAGGAAACAAACACCGUAGUAGUUUGUCUCUAAUGUAAGGUCACAAACACAGGAGUAGUUGGGCUCUAAUGUAAUGUAACAAACACAGGAGUAGUUGGGCUCUAAUAUCAGGUAACAAACACAGGAGUAGAUGGGCUCUAAUGCAAGGAAACAAACACAGGAGUAGUUUGUCUCUAAUGUAAGGUCACAAACACAGGAGUAGUUGGGCUCUAAUAUCAGGUAACAAACACAGUAGUAGAUGGGCUCUAAUGCAAGGUAACAAACACCGUAGUAGUUUGUCUCUAAUGUAAGGUCACAAACACAGGAGUAGUUGGGCUCUGAUGGCGCGUAACAAAGUAGCAGCUGUAGUUUGUCUGGUAAACAACCACAAUAGUAUGCCGGAACUUGUACUGGACAAACUAAUCCUGCGUUACAACAAGUCCACUGUUUAUUUUAGGCAAACUUACGAGGAUCCUGGUUGGUGGAGCGAUGUCGUCCUCCAGAGUCUUGGCUCCUCCAUCAGCUCUCCACAGCCAGAGUCGUGGUCUGGAACAAACGGAGCGAGUCUGGCCCCAAAGUCUGGUAACGAACAUGUAGUUGGUCUUAUUUUUAAGCCCUUUAUUUCCAGUUUGUUUGGUUAAUACAAACUUACAAUCCUUGUUGGUAGAGUGAUGUUCAUCCUCCAGAUUCACGGCUCCCCUACCAGCUCGCCUCCGCUCCAGGAACACGUUCUAGUAAGAAAACACAGCGGUAGUUGGUUAACGCAUAACAGCUGUAUUUUGCCCUUUGAGUCAACCAUGUAACUAAAAACAAACUUACGAGGAAUCCUUGUUGGUCGAUUCCUAGUCGUCCUCCAGCGUCUCAGCUCCUCCAGCAGCUCUCCUCAGACAGAGUACUAGUCUGGAAAAAACAGCGGAAGUCUUGCUUCAACAUGUGGUAAAACAGAUGUAGUCGUCUGGUAUAUAUGGUACAAACGCCGGUAGUUUGUGGUAGCAGUGAGUGUGAUGAUCACUUCCGAGUCAAGCUCCAUCUACCCCAUGACAGACGUCCUUCACCAGGCAGGUCCUUCACCAGGCAGGGCCUCCACAAGGCAGGGCCUUCAGCACGACUCCUCCAACAGCUCCUUCAGCACGGGUCCUCCAUCAGCUCGGCUCCUCCAUCAGCUCCUUCAGCACGGCUCCUCCAGACAUGGAUUCCUGGUCUGGUUACAAACCCAGUUCAUCUCAGCAGUAAAUCACCUGGGGACGCAACACACCCCACCUCCUGCAUCUGAGUGUUUCAGAUGAGCUUGGUGAUGGUUACCCUCUGGUCCGGUGCUGUGGGCCCCUGGUCUCCAGCCUCAGUCUCCGGUCCACCCUGGCACCACAAGCCUCUGGUCCCCAGCCUCUCAGCCUCGCCGUUCAGCUACAGCAGCAGCAUGACAUAACACAUCUCAGGAAGUGGUGGCGCUCCACUGUGUUGGAGAAUCUCCAUACUGAAGGUCAUUGCAGACGGUUUGCUCAUUUCAUGGAGGAGGGCAGAGACAUGGCAAGAGGAACUCUACCACCUAUCUUCGGUAUCCCGAGGAAGCGCUAAGUGUCCGAAAUGGAGGAGACAUAAUAUUUGUCUUUUCUUUGUUUCUUUAUUUUUUUAUUGGUUUGUUUGAAGAGAAGAGCAGAAAAUAAAAUUGAUAAUAAUGGAUACCAAUUCCAAGAAAAACAUUAUUUGAAACGAAAUGAAAUCAUAUAUUGAUGGUUAUUAAGCACACAAUAUACACUGCAAGAAAAUAAAAAUGCAGACGUUUUUUGUAAAGCAAACAAUUUCUGUUCCCUCUUUCUUCAUUUGUCACGUGAAGUUGUUCCCCAUUUUGUUAUACUUUUCCAUCAUUGCCAGUACGUAUUUUUUUUUAUUAGAUCAAUAUUAAUUUAAACAAAAAUAAAUAAAUAUAAAGAGAAAAGUCGACUCUCUCUAACUUUCAAUUCAAUCUAAGUAUUACAAGAAACAUUUUAAUAACUCGUAUUUUAAAUGACCAAAGUCAAUCAAACAUCCGUGGUGUAAAAUGCAACAUUGUGUUUUUACACUUGGGGGAGUAAGGAAAGGGUGUCCGUUGUCUUCUUUACUAAACCAUGUUCAUUGGGCCAGUAACUGAUAAGCCAUCUUCAAAAAAAUGUAGGUCAUGUUUAUUGUGAAGGAAUUAGGAUGUGUCUUGCUGUCAUUGUUAUUAUUCUCAUCCUUAUUAGAGAAAGAAUAAUAAAUAUUUUCUCUUUCUGUUCCAGAGAGAUUAUCUUCUAGCCCACUUUGGAGCAUUUGGAUCACAUUAGGAGUCCUAGGGGUUCUAAUUAUCAUUUUAAUCAUCACCAUAUUACUUUUUUAAACCUCCUGACUGUAUGACCGGUACCAUCAGACACAGCAGGGUCAGACUGGGUCGUACGGGCCAGGAUUCAACGUUCACAUGUCAUUUAUGUUUCUUUAUUAGGCCGGGCUAUUUCCUCUAUUAUCUCUUUGUUAAAUCAUUAAUCUUGUUGGGUUGGAUUCUUCUCUUGUUUUUUCCUUCCUCAUACUGUUUCACCUUUUACCGGAAGGUGUUCAGAAAGGUACCAAAGCAAGGUGGUGCACACCCACACCCACACCCACACACACUUUGUGUCUCCUUCGCGUUAUUCUUGUUGGCCAGAAGGUGAACUACAUCGAGGUGGAUUCACUGCCCCCUAGUGGCUCCACAUGCAACAAGUAACAACACAUGGCUUUGAUUAACAGACAGAUGCGCAUUAUUUCAACACUACUUACAGUGAAUACUGAUAUGAGAUCAAGGAGCAGGUAGGGGAUAGACAGUGAGUACUGAUAUAUGUGAUUAAGGAGCAGGUAGGGGAUAGACAGUGAAUACUGAUGUGAUUAAGGAGCAGGUAGGGGAU